AGCGGCAGCCAUAUCACCCUGUAACCCAAGACGGGUCGCCCACUGAAGCUGAGCCUGGUCAGUACCUGGAUGAGAGACCUCCUGGGAAAACUAGGUUGUUGCUGGAA
rnacentral:rRNA from 1 species